rnacentral:rRNA from 1 species
AUUGAACGCUGGCGGCAUGCCUUACACAUGCAAGUCGAACGGCAGCAUGGAGAGCUUGCUCUCUGAUGGCGAGUGGCGAACGGGUGAGUAAUGCAUCGGAACGUACCGUGUAAUGGGGGAUAACGUAGCGAAAGUUACGCCAAUACCGCAUACGACCUGAGGGUGAAAGCAGGGGAUCGCAAGACCUUGCGUUAUACGAGCGGCCGAUGUCAGAUUAGCGAGUUGGUGAGGUAAAGGCUCACCAAGGCGACGAUCUGUAGCGGGUCUGAGAGGAUGAUCUGACACACUGGGACUGAGACACGGCCCAGACUCCUACGGGAGGCAGCAGUGGGGAAUUUUGGACAAUGGGGGCAACCCUGAUCCAGCCAUGCCGCGUGAGUGGAGAAGGCCUUCGGGUUGUAAAGCUCCUUCGGCCGGGAAGAAAUCGCACAGGCUAAUACCCUGUGUGGAUGACGGUACCGGCAUAAGAAGCACCGGCUAACUACGUGCCAGCCGCCGCGGUAA